rnacentral:rRNA from 1 species
GUAGGUGGCGAGCGUUGUCCGGAAUUAUUGGGCGUAAAGCGCGCGCAGGCGGUUCUUUAAGUCUGAUGUGAAAGCCCACGGGCUCAACCGUGGAGGGUCAUUGGAAACUGGAGAACUUGAGUACAGAAGAGGAAAGCGGAAUUCCACGUGUAGCGGUGAAAUGCGUAGAGAUGUGGAGGAACACCAGUGGCGAAGGCGGCUUUCUGGUCUGUAACUGACGCUGAGGCGCGAAAGCGUGGGGAGCAAACAGGAUUGGAUACCCUGGUAGUCCACGCCGUAAACGAUGAGUGCUAAGUGUUAGGGGGUUUCCGCCCCUUAGUGCUGCAGCUAACGCAUUAAGCACUCCGCCUGGGGAGUACGGCCGCAAGGCUG